rnacentral:misc_RNA from 1 species
GAUGAAGAACGUAGCGAAAUGCGAUAAGUAAUGUGAAUUGCAGAAUUCAGUGAAUCAUCGAAUCUUUGAACGCACAUUGCGCCCGCCAGUAUUCUGGCGGGCAUGCCUGUUCGAGCGUCAUUUCAACCAUCAAGCCCCCGGGCUUGUGUUGGGGACCUGCGGCUGCCGCAGGCCCUGAAAAGCAGUGGCGGGCUCGCUGUCACACCGAGCGUAGUAGAUUUUAUCUCGCUCUGGGCGUGCUGCGGGUUCCGGCCGUUAAACCACCCUUUUAACCCAAGGUUGACCUCGGAUCAGGUAGGAAGGCCCGCUGAACUUAAGCAUAUCAAUAAGCGGAGGA